GGAGCCUUCAGGUCUGUUCUUCAAGGGGAAAGUACUAUCGUUGACUGCUUUAGUCAGAUUGUUUCAGGUGUUGAUGGUCUCCAUAAUAGAAAUUUUAUAGCAUUAAUUUGACAUUAAAAGGUGUCAACCUGACGUUAAAGUUGCUUAUCUUUUGCUGAAAAAGUUCCUACAGGUUGUUAUGGGAUCUAUCAGAGGAAUUCUUCAAAGAGAACUAUUCACUCCUCAUGAAGAGAGACUGCUGACAGCAGCCCAUGUUCGGAAGCCAGGGAAGCGAAGGAAAGGCUCUAUUCUCUGUGCAGUUGUGUCUGCAGAACGUCCAGUACAGGUAUCUUUAGUUAAAGUAAAGAAAUCAGACCGUGGGGACCAGUACAAACAAGCUUCCAAGUGGUCUUUGAAGGAACUGAAAGUAGUAGAUGGGAAAGAUACUGCAG